rnacentral:tRNA from 1 species
GGGCGCAUAGCUCAGUUGGUUAGAGCGCUCGCCUUACAAGCGAGAGGUUUUCGCAGGUUCGAGCCCUGCUGCGCCCA